rnacentral:lncRNA from 7 species
UUUUUCCAUAGGAAUCUUGCAAGUACAGUAACCUACAGAUGACAGUCAGCAAGGAUUUGCAGGUACACCGAUCCUGAGGUAGAGAUGUCACUUUGGAGAUGUGACUGGAAAUCUGUCCUAAGAGCACUGACCAGGCCUCCUUCUGGCCUUGUGGAUUCUUCAUGCUUCCAUUUGGUUUCAGGCUUUUUGAUUUUUCCAUCCUCUAAAGCAUCCUCCAGUAAUGCAGUGUUUCCAAAGUGGAAAUGAAAGGCACAGGUGGAGACUCAACUGCCUACUUGUCAUAAGGCUAAAUAUUUCUUCACUCAAGAUGUAAUAAAUCCUGGAGUACUCUCUGCUCUCACAGGAGGAUUUCAGCACGGAGGCAUGCUGCAGAAAGAUCUUCCGGGGAAAAUGUAUUUUUGAGUACUCCAGACAAUUGAAACUAGUGAGCCCACUGUCUGGAGAAAGCAUCUGUAACCGCAGCCAAAAGAGGAACAAGAUUUCCGACAUUGUUUCAAGACAUGUGUUUGAAGCAUGGGUUCCCAUCACUUUCGGAGACUGACAUGGAAGCACUGCUCAUAAGGUCUGGAAAAAGACUUCUUGAUCAUUCCUGCCUCCAGCUUCCUCUCCCUGUCUGCAGUCAAGGGGUUAUCACAGGCCAGCUGGCAGAGUGGAAAGCACAGCAGUAUAGACAGACAUAGCCGAGAGUUGUGGCAGCCAUUAAUAGAUCAGGCAAGCCCUUGCAGCUGUGUUUUGAUCAGCGGAAAGGUUUUUGGCAUCCAAGAGCUGAAAUCACCUUUUGGAUGCACAGGCCUCAUUUUCUUUCUCUCCACUAAGGAUGAUUUACAUUCCAUCAGCAGCAGAAAAAGACCUGAAAAAUCUGUAGAUGCGAUUAGAAGCACUUUAGUCAUCACACCUCACUGGAGGCUUCUCUGCUUUAAUGAGCAACUCAGAAACCACAGAGAGGACUGGAGAAUGGAAGUCAUUGGACAUUGUCGUGUUUGAAAACAGCUCCAUAGCAUUCAUAAGAGGAUUCUUGGCACCUGCCUAGUUAAACUGGAUGUCCAAUGUUAUCUCCCCAGAAUUUUAUAAAUCCUUGGGCUGUUACUGCUGCUCCUCUGACAUGGCCCAUCAUCAGAAUACCAGCUAUAUUUCUUGUUUUCAGUCUGAAUAAGAAGAAAGAAUCAGGUUUCCACUCACACGUAUGAAAUCACCUUUAAAAUACCCUGGCCCAGCUCUUCUUGUUGCUCUGGAGUAUCCUGAAAUGGCAGAAUCCAUGGGCAAACAGGAGCUCAGAGCGCUAAGGUACCUCCAAGCAGCUAGGCCUUAGUCCUUCACCCUGUGUGUGGCUCCAUCACCAAGGACUUUUCUGCCUACAGGGAGGCUGGGUUGGCACUCAGUUGGCACUCAGAGAACUUCUGGAUGCCAGCAGGCUGGAGCAAGCUCAGAUUAGCUUCAUGACUGCGUAGCCAGCUAGACUUCAGAAGGCUGCAUUACUGCAUGCAAAUAAAUGUGAAACCCCUUCUGAGAUGGAAUUGGAAGCUCAGUGAAUGACCGUAACACAGAAUAUGUAACUCAGAGUGAGAUUCAAGAAACAGUUUGUACAGCCAUGCCAACAGCCCAACCUUACCAUGUAAGGUCUUCUCUGCCCCGCGGGCUGGGCUGGACAAACACAGCAGUCGCCUACAGCCGGAGCGGGAUGCUGCUGGCAGAGGAAUGCGGCCAUCCAGGUAUUGCCCUCGGUUUGCAGCCACCCUGCCCGAGUAUAAGGACUUUCCACCCAGCUCGUUUGCCUCGUGAUUUAUGUCUAAAUUGACAGAGUCCUUCGGAGGCAUUCGUGUUAAAUUUGAAACAAACAUAUUUAAUGCUUCUGUUGUAAUAAAACAGCUCAAAGAGCAGAU